rnacentral:rRNA from 1 species
GAUGAACGCUGGCGGCGUGCUUAACACAUGCAAGUCGAACGGAAAGGCCCAAGCUUGCUUGGGUACUCGAGUGGCGAACGGGUGAGUAACACGUGGGUGAUCUGCCCUGCACUUCGGGAUAAGCCUGGGAAACUGGGUCUAAUACCGGAUAGGACCACGUUUUGGAUGGUGUGGUGGGAAGUUUUUCGGUGUGGGAUGAGCUCGCGGCCUAUCAGCUUGUUGGUGGGGUAAUGGCCUACCAAGGCGUCGACGGGUAGCCGGCCUGAGAGGGUGUACGGCCACGUUGGGAGUGGGAACGCGCCCACACUCCUGCGGGAGGAAGGAGUGGGGGAUGAGGGAGAAGGGGGGAAAGCUUGAUGAAGCGGCGCCGGGGGGGGGAUGGCGGCCGUCGGUUGGAAAACCCGUUUCGCUGGGGAAGACGGGCAAGAGAGGGAGCGGGGAAAAAAGACCCGGGCUAGCUAGGUA